rnacentral:SRP_RNA from 1 species
GCCGAGCUCAGUAGCAGGAGCUUGUAACCCAAGCUGGGGGCAUUAAGGGUGGUGCGAAUGGUUUGGGGCGGAAUAUGGGCUUUGGGCUCAUGUGUGGAACUUUUCUGGCCUGCCCGUUCCAAGUUGCGUAGUGGUUGGAGGAGUCUUAGCGAAAGCAUUGGCCUCUCUGGGCUUCUAAAGCGGCAGGCAUAGCGUUAGGCUGGUUUCACAGAGCAGCGAUCACUGCCCGCUUCCAACGGUGGAAGGAUAACAGGCCGCUGCACCAUGGGCCCGCUUCUGGUCCAUAUUCCCUCUAUAACAGACCACCAUUUUU